ACCGCCAGCCCGCACUGGAGGGGCGAGGAAGGAGUUAAAGGGAGCUGUGCCGACCGCAGCGAGUAUCGCCGCCGGGCACCGCUUCCCCCGCGGGCUCCGCGCUUCCCCGGUUCCAGGAGUGCGCAGGGCAGCGGCUGCGAGGCGAGCAGCAGGUGGGCUGCGGCUGGAGGCGCCGGUCUGGAGCUGGGAGAAGGUCGGCGGCCCCUGCAGGAGCACUCUCUAGGCUCCUGCAGGGAAAAGAGCUCACCUACGGCUCCCCUCCCAGAGCGCGUUAAUCCGAGAGCAAGCAACCCUGGCACUGAAAGAUACUUCUUUGGCCCAGCCUUAUCUUCUGCAGAGUAAAUCCGCAGGAAUAUUUCUGCCUGAGUCAGGAAGCAGAAACAAAAGUGUUUUGAAGCCUAGAUUAUGCUUUCUGCAAAGGGAAUGGCUGAGAGGAUAAUUGCAGAUACCUGGUUCCACACACUGCGCUUCUAAGGGCAGCCGAGCUUUGAACUCUAUAGAGGAAUGGGUUCUGCAAAUAUCUGGAUCUUUCCUGAGCAAUUGUAAAAGAGUCUGUUGAUUGUGCUACAGCGACAUCUGUCCCUAAUAAUGUCUCUAUUAAGCCUCUCUACAAAGAGAAGAGUAUACUAAUUGCCAGACUAACAUGUCAUUUGGCUUUGUGAACAAGCUACUGAAAACUACCUUAUGAAUGAAACUUAGAAGAAUCAUGAAAGACUUUCCAAAUUAAAUACCUACAUGUAAGAAAUACCAAAAUGAAAUGAAAAUGGAUUUGUGCAUAUGUUGUUGGUGUUCUAUUAAAGCUGAUAUAGAAUUCCAGUUUAAUUUUC